GAUGAACGCUGGCGGCGUGCUUAACACAUGCAAGUCGAACGGGAAUUAUUUUAUUGUCACUUCGGUCGAUUUAAUUUAAUUCUAGUGGCGGACGGGUGAGUAACGCGUGGGUAACCUGCCUUAUACAGGGGGAUAACAGUCAGAAAUGGCUGCUAAUACCGCAUAAGCGCACAGAGCUGCAUGGCUCAGUGUGAAAAACUCCGGUGGUAUAAGAUGGACCCGCGUUGGAUUAGCUGGUUGGUGGGGUAACGGCCCACCAAGGCGACGAUCCAUAGCCGGCCUGAGAGGGUGAGCGGCCACAUUGGGACUGAGACACGGCCCAGACUCCUACGGGAGGCAGCAGUGGGGAAUAUUGCACAAUGGGGGAAACCCUGAUGCAGCGACGCCGCGUGAAGGAAGAAGUAUCUCGGUAUGUAAACUUCUAUCAGCAGGGAAGAUAGUGACGGUACCUGACUAAGAAGCCCCGGCUAACUACGUG
rnacentral:rRNA from 1 species